GACAGAGGGGGCAAGCGUUGUCCGGAAUUACUGGGCGUAAAGGGCGCGUAGGCGGCCUGCUAAGUCGGAUGUGAAAUCCCUCGGCUCAACCGAGGAACUGCAUCCGAUACUGGCGGGCUUGAAUCCGGGAGAGGGAUGUGGAAUUCCUGGUGUAGCGGUGAAAUGCGCAGAUAUCAGGAGGAACACCUACGGCGAAGGCAGCUCGCUGGGACGGUACUGACGCUGAGACGCGAAAGCGUGGGGAGCAAACAGG
rnacentral:rRNA from 1 species